rnacentral:rRNA from 1 species
UACGUAGGGACCAAGCGUUGUUCGGAUUUACUGGGCGUAAAGGGCGCGUAGGCGGCAAUUCAAGUCAUCUGUGAAAUCUCCGGGCUUAACCCGGAACGGUCAGGUGAUACUGUUUUGCUAGAGUGCGGAAGGGGCAAUCGGAAUUCUCGGUGUAGCGGUGAAAUGCGUAGAUAUCGAGAGGAACACCAGAGGUGAAGACGGGUUGCUGGGCCGACACUGACGCUGACAGCGCGAAAGCCAGGGGAGGCAAACGGG